UACGUAGGGGGCAAGCGUUGUCCGGAAUCAUUGGGCGUAAAGCGCGCGUAGGUGGCCUCAUAAGUCCGCUGUGAAAGUCAAAGGCUCAACCUUUGAAAGCCGGUGGAUACUGUGGGGCUAGAGUACGGAAGAGGCGAGUGGAAUUCCUGGUGUAGCGGUGAAAUGCGCAGAUAUCAGGAGGAACACCAAUUGCGAAGGCAGCUCGCUGGGACGUUACUGACGCUGAGGUGCGAAAGCGUGGGGAGCAAACAGG
rnacentral:rRNA from 1 species